UACGUAGGGGGCAAGCGUUGUUCGGAAUCAUUGGGCGUAAAGAGCGUGUAGGCGGCUAGAUAAGUCCGCUGUGAAAUCUCGAGGCUCAACUUCGAGCUGUCGGUGGAAACUGUCUGGCUAGAGUCCGGAAGAGGAGAAUGGAAUUCCUGGUGUAGCGGUGAAAUGCGCAGAUAUCAGGAAGAACACCCGUGGCGAAGGCGGUUCUCUGGGACGUUACUGACGCUGAGACGCGAAAGCGUGGGGAGCGAACAGG
rnacentral:rRNA from 1 species